UCUCGUACAUCACGAAUCGCAUUUUGAAUUGUCGAGUCCGACGGCUCUGAUGUGUGGCACACUGGAGGCGCCGUGAACUCGAAUUAACCCAUCCCAGCCCGUCCUCCUAACCGCGGUUAAUCUGAUCUUCCCUCUAUCCCCCUUUUGAACUCCUCUCUCUCUCUCUCUGUUCUAGGGUUGAGUCUCGUCGCGCUUUUACUUUUUCUCUCUCUCUCGAUUCGUUGUUAAGCGUCGCCUAUCCUUGUUCUCUGUUCUAGGGUUGAGUCCCGUCUCUCUUUUUCUUUUUUUCUCUCUCGAGUCGUUGUUAAGCGUCGCCUAUCCUUUUUGGUACGUGUAAGUUGAACUUUGAUUGUCUCACACUUUAAUUUGCCUCCUUCUCAAGCUCUUAUCUUUUGUGGCUAUAAAUGAAGAAAGGAAAGAAUCCAAGUCCAUUCUGGUUUGAGAGGAUGUCGAUCUGCUGCAGUCGGAGGCGAGGGCCGUUGUCGGCGGUGAUUUAGGGUUUCUUUUCAGGUGUCGAUUGAGCGAAUUGCGAUGAUGGGAGGCGAGCAGGAUUCCGCCGGCGUGCCGCUUCCCAGCGGCCGGAGGACCUUUUGGAGGUCGGCUUCUUGGUCUGCUUCCCGGACGUCUGUUCUGGACCACUCCAGAGACUGUGCUUCUGAAGAGAAGAACACGAGCAAUGGCCAGCUACGGCACCGACCUGGGCCUCUUCUUACCCCUAGGUCUCAGAGCCAGAAGGCACGGUCUUGUCUUCCACCUCUCCAACCGCUCGCCAUCGCCCGCCGAAGCUUGGAUGAGUGGCCGAAGGCGGGGUCCGAUGAUAUUGGGGAGUGGCCACAGGCCUCCACCCCAGGUGCAAAGGCUGACGUUUGCAAGCUGGGUGACGGCCUAAGGUUAGAUCUUUCUUCACUGAGAUCCCAAGGUAAGAGAGAUCAAAUUGCGUUCUUUGACAAGGAGUGUUCCAAGGUCGCAAAUCACAUCUAUCUUGGAGGAGAUUAUGUUGCUAGGAACCGAGAAAUCCUCCGCCAGCAUGGGAUUACCCAUGUCCUGAAUUGUGUUGGCUUCGUUUGCCCGGAGUACUUCAAGUCAGAUCUUGUUUACAAGACCCUUUGGUUGCAGGAUAGCCCGACAGAGGACAUCACGAGUAUAUUGUAUGAUGUGUUUGAUUACUUUGAGGAUGUUCGGCAGCAGGAAGGGAGAGUGUUUGUCCACUGCUGCCAGGGUGUGUCAAGGUCGACCUCUCUGGUCAUAGCUUACCUGAUGUGGAGGGAAGGGCAGAGCUUUGAUGAUGCCUUCCAGUUUGUAAAGGCAGCAAGAGGAAUAGCUAAUCCCAACAUGGGUUUUGCCUGUCAACUGUUACAGUGCCAGAAGAGGGUGCAUGCGAUCCCGCCAAGCCCCAGGUCAUUGCAUGGGAUGUACCGAAUGGCACCUCACUCACCUUAUGAUCCUUUGCACCUUGUCCCCAAGAUGUUAAAUGAUCCUUCACCAUCUGCACUGGAUUCAAGGGGUGCAUUUAUAAUUCAUGUUCUCUCAUCAAUUUAUGUGUGGAUUGGUAAUAAUUGUGAGUCUGUUAUGGAGAAGGAUGCAAAAGCUGCUGCCUUUCAGGUGGUAAGGUAUGAGCAAGUGCAGGGGCCAAUCGUGAUGAUUGAAGAAGGGAAAGAGCCCUUAGAUUUUUGGGAAAACUUCCUGAAUGCACUGUCUUUGUAUGAUGGCACAAAGAUUGAGAAGGAACAAGUUGAAGCAGCUAGGUUUGUUGUAGGUAAAAGGAGAGUGGAAGCCUAUGAUGUGGAUUUUGAGCUCUUCUACAAAGCUCUUAGUGGAGGUAUUGUGCCACCAUUUGCUUCUUCAGGACACGAAUGUGAAACACACCUUCCAGCAAGAGAAAGUAGUUGGAGUGUGUUGAGGCAAAGGUUUGUAUCAGUAACCACUGGUAGAUUUUUUUCAGAUACAGCAUUGGUGAGAGAUAUCGAUACUUUCUCUGGUAGGAUGCAGGUAUUGAAUGCAGAGACAUCAAAUUCCCUGUCAUAUCCUUCUCCCAGUAGUCUUUCUUCUCCUGAUUUAAGCAUUUGUUCAAAGUCUAGUUUGGAGUCACCUUCAGUCUCUCUUUCAACAUGCUUCUCUCCUCUCAUGUUACCACCUGCAUCACAUAACAUGCGCAACUCUUUGCCACAAUCAACUGGACCUUCUCAAAAGAUUUCUGACACAGUUGACUCAUUGAAAUCAUCUGUUAGAACAAUUCGUUCUCCAUCCAAGGGGCUAGCAAAAUCUAUUGCUGAAAGAAGGGGAGGUUUUUCAUCUUUAAAACUGCCAACACUUUCCAAAGAUGCUUCACUAAUGUGUCAGAAGGCACUAAAUGCAUCUUCUGCUUGCCAAAUUACACAUGAAGUCCUAGAUAAACUUAAUAUUGAUGAAAAUCAAAAUCAUAAUGUUUUAGGCAGUGCAAAUAGUGUGGGUUUAGAAUCAGGUGUUAAGUGCUUAGCUGAAAAUGCUAUUAGUAGUUCUGAGAACUAUGAAAAUGUAAAGAGAAUUUUUCUAUGGAAGGAUGACCAAUUAUUCCAUGGUUCAAGUGGUCUUGUUGAUGGUAGAUUGGAGAAGCCAAAUCCUGAACUACCCCUUGUAUACCGCUGGCCAAGUAUGGAAAAGCUAGCGACAAUUUCCAAAGAGGAUCUUGAUUCCAGAGAUGUGUUUCUUUUCUUAAUUGAUAGUGCUAAUAGAAGUGGAGAGGCAGGUGGUUAUGUACUAUAUUUGUGGAUAGGGAGUGAAUUUGAACAGGCUGAUGGAAAAACUCAACCAAAGGGCAGCAGAGACAAACAAAUUGUUUCAAUCAAUUGGCACAAAAUUGGAUGUGAUUUCCUUGAUUCAGUUGGUCUUCCAAAGGAUCUCCCAGUUAAGGUUGUCGAGGAAGAUGAAACAGCGAAGCUCCUGGAACUGCUGAAUUCUUCUUAAGCUUGUCUCUGCAAUAAAAUGUUUUAGUGCCUGACAACGUGACCUUGCUCUGGUGCAUUUUCCUUGCAAACUACGCGCAAUGGAGUUCAUUUUGCAUGAACGGCAAUAGCAAUGCCUGGUAGCUAUCAGCGAGGAGACUGCCCAAACUUCAUCUGUUUGGAGUGCAGGUUCUGGCACACUUGGAUGUAUAUUGCCUGCUCCCCUGUAAGCUCAAACAUUGGGAACAAAGAAUGAAAGCUUUGAUUUUUUAGGACCCACCCAUUUCUUAGUCUUUUAUGCUUCCUUGCACAAUUUAUGUACCAAAUUCUACAUCUUUAUGGGUCAACUCAUCUCUUUUGCCAUCUCCUUGUGCUAAUAUGUUGUUUCUCGAGUUGUGCAAACUAUGAGCUCCAUGGAUAGAGAGUCGUUCUUAAAUUUUUUGUUUUAUUGACAUCUCAGUCGCGGUUCCUGUGAGUGAAUUGAUGAUCAUCGGAACCUUCUAUCGAUGUAAUGAGCUGCUAUGAAUUCAAUCAAGUAUUCAGUGUCGAUCA